rnacentral:rRNA from 1 species
UACGGAGGGUGCAAGCGUUAAUCGGAAUUACUGGGCGUAAAGCGUACGUAGGCGGCUUGUUAAGCAAGAUGUGAAAUCCCCGGGCUCAACCUGGGAAUGGCAUUUUGAACUGGCAGGCUCGAGUUCUGAAGAGGGAGGUAGAAUUUCCAGUGUAGCGGUGAAAUGCGUAGAUAUUGGAAGGAAUACCGGUGGCGAAGGCGGCCACCUGGUCAGAAACUGACGCUGAGGUACGAAAGCGUGGGGAGCAAACAGG